AGUGAACGCUGGCGGUAGGCCUAACACAUGCAAGUCGAACGGCAGCACAGUAAGAGCUUGCUCUUACGGGUGGCGAGUGGCGGACGGGUGAGGAAUACAUCGGAAUCUACUUUUUCGUGGGGGAUAACGUAGGGAAACUUACGCUAAUACCGCAUACGACCUACGGGUGAAAGCAGGGGAUCUUCGGACCUUGCGCGAUUGAAUGAGCCGAUGUCGGAUUAGCUAGUUGGCGGGGUAAAGGCCCACCAAGGCGACGAUCCGUAGCUGGUCUGAGAGGAUGAUCAGCCACACUGGAACUGAGACACGGUCCAGACUCCUACGGGAGGCAGCAGUGGGGAAUAUUGGACAAUGGGCGCAAGCCUGAUCCAGCCAUACCGCGUGGGUGAAGAAGGCCUUCGGGUUGUAAAGCCCUUUUGUUGGGAAAGAAAAGCGGCAGGUUAAUACCCCGCUGUUCUGACGGUACCCAAAGAAUAAGCACCGGCUAACUUCGG
rnacentral:rRNA from 1 species